rnacentral:rRNA from 1 species
GAUGAACGCCGGCGGUGUGCCUAAUACAUGCAAGUCGUACGCACUGGCCCAACUGAUUGAUGGUGCUUGCACCUGAUUGACGAUGGAUCACCAGUGAGUGGCGGACGGGUGAGUAACACGUAGGUAACCUGCCCCGGAGCGGGGGAUAACAUUUGGAAACAGAUGCUAAUACCGCAUAACAACAAAAGCCGCAUGGUUUUUGUUUGAAAGAUGGCUUUGGCUAUCACUCUGGGAUGGACCUGCGGUGCAUUAGCUAGUUGGUACGGUAACGGCGUACCAAGGCGAUGAUGCAUAGCCGACCUGAGAGGGUGAAACGGCCACAUUGGGACUGAGAUACGGCCCAG